AGAGUUUGAUCCUGGCUCAGAACGAACGCUGGCGGCAUGCCUAACACAUGCAAGUCGAACGAACCCUUCGGGGUGAGUGGCGCACGGGUGCGUAACGCGUGGGAACCUGCCUUUAGGUUCGGAAUAACAGUUAGAAAUGACUGCUAAUACCGGAUAAUGUCUUCGGACCAAAGAUUUAUCGCCUUUAGAUGGGCCCGCGUUAGAUUAGAUAGUUGGUGGGGUAAUGGCCUACCAAGUCGACGAUCUAUAGCUGGUCUGAGAGGAUGAUCAGCCACACUGGGACUGAGACACGGCCCAGACUCCUACGGGAGGCAGCAGUGGGGAAUAUUGGACAAUGGGCGAAAGCCAGAUCCAGCAAUGCCGCGUGAGUGAUGAAGGCCUUAGGGUUGUAAAGCUCUUUUACCAGGGAUGAUAAUGACAGUACCUGGAGAAUAAGCUCCGGCUAACUCCGUGCCAGCAGCCGCGGUAAUACGGAGGGAGCUAGCGUUGUUCGGAAUUACUGGGCGUAAAGCGCACGUAGGCGGCUUUUCAAGUCAGGGGUGAAAUCCCGGGGCUCAACCCCGGAACUGCCCUUGAAACUGGAUGGCUAGAAUACUGGAGAGGUGAGUGGAAUUCCGAGUGUAGAGGUGAAAUUCGUAGAUAUUCGGAAGAACACCAGUGGCGAA
rnacentral:rRNA from 1 species